GAUGGCAAUUACAACGAGGACUG
rnacentral:siRNA from 1 species